UACGUAGGUGACCAGCGUUGUCCGGAUUUACUGGGCGUAAAGAGCGCGCAGGCGGUCGUUCAAGUCGAGUGUGAAAGCCCCCGGCUCAACUGGGGAGGGUCAUUCGAUACUGAUCGACUCGAAGGCAGGAGAGGGAAGCGGAAUUCCCGGUGUAGUGGUGAAAUGCGUAGAUAUCGGGAGGAACACCAGUGGCGAAGGCGACUUCCUGGCCUGUUCUUGACGCUGAGGCGCGAAAGCUAGGGGAGCAAACGGG
rnacentral:rRNA from 1 species